CUCUCUGGUAUACGAAUACCCAUGCUUUGGAAUCGUAACAACAUGACAGAUCCGACAGAUCUGUCACAGAUCUUUCAAUAUUAUUUUUCAAUAUUUUUUACUCAACGUUGCGACGACUCGCACUCGUGUUAUACUUUUAUCAUAAAAAUCAAAUCAAUAUAAAAAAAAAUCCGAAAUCACUCGUUUUAGAAACCGUAUUGCAGGAGAAUUCUUACAUAAUUUGAUUAGGCGUCAUACGGGAUGUAACCUUACUUUCAUGUAUAAGAAAUUUUCAAAACGUAAAUAAUAUCUGCAAUAGUAAUAACGCAAUUGAACGAGAACUGUCAAGUAUCUAUUUGAGAUCCACAUAUACAAUUACUUAUACUACAUUUCUUUUGCUCGUUUGUCUCUAACUUACAACUAUUUAUAUCUACUAUUUUCUCUUAUAAAAUGUUAUUCUUUUCGGUGGAGUUGAAUAUGUAGUAUAUAUAAAUAGUAGUUGUGAAAAUUUCUUGAAUAACCUCUUCCCAGAUAGCUCAAGUACAUUAAGAUUGUAGAGUUAUAUUAUUAUAGAAUAUCCAAUAGUUAUUAUAGAAUAUCAUUUUAUCUGUAUCACAUUAAUAUGAUACUAAAAUUGUUCUUUGUGCGAAGAACAAAAUACACAAGUAUCCUUUAAAAAAAUUGCUCAUUGGAUUUGGUAUACUUACAUUGAAAGAGAUAUGUACAAUGUAAUAGCUAGAUAAUUCUUAUAUAUUCUUAUUUUCACAUCCAAAACGAAUAGUGCGAUAAAUGCUACCUUUGUCAAUUCCAUUGUAUUCCUUAUAUAUAUAUAUAUAUAUAUAUAGCGUACAAUUUGAUCGAAAAAAGACAUUCACAUGGAAACCCUGACACAUAUUCGUAUAUGGAGAGAUAUUGGAAUUUACUCUAUAUUUAGUUAGUGCUGGUCAAACAGUCGAACCGGAGUGUUAUAGGAUGAAAGAGAUCUAAGAGAAGUUGUAAUUGCAAUCGCGCCUAAUAGUCGAGCUUUACUCCAAGAUCUAAAAUUUAAAAUUUCACAUUAUGUAUCUGGCUGAGAAAAAUUCAUAACUCAAGCCCAUUGAGAUUAGUGAUUUAGAUUUUAGAUCAAUUGUGGAGUAAAACGUUAUUUAACUUACGAAUGAAUAAAUAAGGCUCGAUGUAAAAUGUCGUAAAUGAGUGUUAAACUAAUAUCUUUGAUCGUGUCAAGCAUACAGAAAAUAUUUCUUUACGGAAUAUGACUAGAAUUUAAAAUUAAAAUUUGUGCUUCUAUAGUAAAAGAGGUGUAUAUUGUAUUCGAUACAUGGAUGCGUUAAGUCAAACGAAUCGCUCCAAAUGCAUCGCGUUGCGCGCAAGUCUCCUAACGGCUAAUUAUUGUGUGCCUGUAAGUGAUAAGUAAGGAUGUGUACCGCCACAGUAGCGGGAACAAAAGAAUCGACUAACUUGUAUUCAUGGCUUUAUCGCAUGAAGGAGGAUAUCGACCAACAUCCGGAGGAUAUCGUCUUAGCGUGUAACAUCUCGCCGCCCAGAAAGGAAAAACAUACACUGAGAGAAAAAAUACUUGAAAAUAAAAAAAGUUAUUUACUUGGAGUGAAUUUUAAUAGCUAUUUACUUGUAGUCAAGUUAAACAUUUCUCAAUUGAAAUAUUUUUGUAAAUAAAUGAAAUAUUUUUUUA